UACGUAGGGGGCAAGCGUUGUCCGGAAUCAUUGGGCGUAAAGCGCGUGUAGGCGGCCAAGUAAGUCCGUUCUGAAAGCCCGGGGCUCAACCCCGGGAGGCGGAUGGAUACUGCUUGGCUCGAGUCCGGAAGAGGCGAGUGGAAUUCCCGGUGUAGCGGUGAAAUGCGCAGAUAUCGGGAGGAACACCAAUGGCGAAAGCAGCUCUCUGGGACGGUACUGACGCUGAGACGCGAAAGCGUGGGGAGCGAACAGG
rnacentral:rRNA from 1 species